GACGAACGCUGGCGGCGUGCCUAACACAUGCAAGUCAACUUGACUGAAGGAGCAAUCUGACAGUAGAGUGGCGCAAGGGUGCGUAACGCGUAAGUAACUUGCCCAAGGUAAGGAAUAACGUCGAGAAAUCGGCGCUAAUACCUCAUAAUGCAGCGGAUCCGCAUGGAUAUGUUGUUAAAGGUUUACCGCCUUGGGAUAGGCUUGCGUCUGAUUAGCUAGUUGGUGUGGUAACGGCACACCAAGGCUACGAUCAGUAACUGGUCUGAGAGGAUGAUCAGUCACACUGGAACUGAGACACGGUCCAGACUCCUACGGGAGGCAGCAGUGAGGAAUAUUGGGCAAUGCUCGAAAGAGUGACCCAGCAACGCCGCGUGGAGGAUGAAGGUAUUCUAUAUCGUAAACUCCUGUGAGAGCAGACAAAGACAGAUUAUUAAUCUGGAUGACUGUAUGCUCAGGGAAG
rnacentral:rRNA from 1 species